ACCCCAGCUCCCUGUACCUCCCUGUCAGGCGUCCUCCCGGGGUCAGGCGCGACCCCGGCCCAUGGAACCUCCCCGUCAAGCGUCCUGCCGGGGUCUUGGCGCCGCGUUAGAAACCCAUUCUUUCGUAGCUCUCAUUGUGGCGUUCGUGUGCAGCCUUGUUCAUUGUGGCCAUUUGCUAAAUUUUCGUGCCCAGAGCGAGUCGCUGCGUGUGAAGAGCCAGUGGCAUCGAUGUUUCCACAGCGAGUCACUGAUCAGCGCGUUGCUGUUGGCAGGUUUAGUUAGGGUGGUCUGUCGAGGAGCUCCCGCCCCCUGCGACUUGUCCACCGGUCUGCGGGGGAGUUGAGCCUGGUUGUAAACCUCCACACGGUGCGGUUCUCAGAGUAAUGUCUGUCUACAAGAAGACGGUAAGAAAAGCGUUUCAGCGAAAUAAUACCUUCUGUUUUAAAAUGUUUGUUAAAAGAAAACGAGAGAGAGAGAGAUGCUUUGGCUUUUUGGUUUUUCCUUUUCAGCUGCAGACCAUCGCAGUCAUUUGAUCAGAGCGGAGGGCAGCCAAAGGCCUCAGUAUCUUGAGGAUCACAACACAAAAAGGCACAGUGUGACUGUUCCCUAUGAGCCGCCCCAGCCGGGCUCAGAGAUCACCACAAUCCUGUUCAACUUCAUGUGCAACAGCUCCUGCAUGGGAGGCAUGAACCGCAGACCCAUCCUCACCACAUCCUGACCCUUGAGACUUCAGACGGACAACUUUUGGGCCGAAGAUGCUUCGAGGUGCGUGUCUGCGCGUGUCCCGGCAGGGAUCGUAAAACAGAGGAGGCAAAUAGUGCCAAACUUCAGACGGGGGCCAAACAAGUGAAGAAAAGAAAAAGUGCCCCAGCAAUAGAUCCUGAUAUGUGCAAAAGGAAGUCUGGCUCAAGCACAGACGAGGAGGAAGUACUUAUGUUGCCAGUUAAAGGCCGUGAGCGCUAUAACAUGUUAAAGAAGAUAAAUGAUGCAUUAGAACUGGCUGAAAAAGAGGCUAAAAACAAAACCAGGGCUUCUAAGGAACUGCUGCCGUCCAGUGGAAAGCGCGUCUUGCAAAAAGCAGAACGAAGCGACAGCGACUAGUUGCAAUCUGCCUUCUUUUAACCGCCAUGUUAUGUUCAGUGUUGCUUCCUGGCCAACAUCCCUCAGCAGGAGGCUGCACGAUCAUCGAGUUCAGAUGAACUGCGCGACCCCAGCCCCCUGUACCUCCCCGUCAGGCGUCCUGCCGGGGUCCGGCGCGACCCCAGCUCCCUGUACCUCCCUGUCAGGCGUCCUCCCGGGGUCAGGCGCGACCCCGGCCCAUGGAACCUCCCCGUCAAGCGUCCUGCCGGGGUCUUGGCGCCGCGUUAGAAACCCAUUCUUUCGUAGCUCUCAUUGUGGCGUUCGUGUGCAGCCUUGUUCAUUGUGGCCAUUUGCUAAAUUUUCGUGCCCAGAGCGAGUCGCUGCGUGUGAAGAGCCAGUGGCAUCGAUGUUUCCACAGCGAGUCACUGAUCAGCGCGUUGCUGUUGGCAGGUUUAGUUAGGGUGGUCUGUCGAGGAGCUCCCGCCCCCUGCGACUUGUCCACCGGUCUGCGGGGGAGUUGAGCCUGGUUGUAAACCUCCACACGGUGCGGUUCUCAGAGUAAUGUCUGUCUACAAGAAGACGGUAAGAAAAGCGUUUCAGCGAAAUAAUACCUUCUGUUUUAAAAUGUUUGUUAAAAGAAAACGAGAGAGAGAGAGAUGCUUUGGCUUUUUGGUUUUUCCUUUUCAGCUGCAGACCAUCGCAGUCAUUUGAUCAGAGCGGAGGGCAGCCAAAGGCCUCAGUAUCUUGAGGAUCACAACACAAAAAGGCACAGUGUGACUGUUCCCUAUGAGCCGCCCCAGCCGGGCUCAGAGAUCACCACAAUCCUGUUCAACUUCAUGUGCAACAGCUCCUGCAUGGGAGGCAUGAACCGCAGACCCAUCCUCACCACAUCCUGACCCUUGAGACUUCAGACGGACAACUUUUGGGCCGAAGAUGCUUCGAGGUGCGUGUCUGCGCGUGUCCCGGCAGGGAUCGUAAAACAGAGGAGGCAAAUAGUGCCAAACUUCAGACGGGGGCCAAACAAGUGAAGAAAAGAAAAAGUGCCCCAGCAAUAGAUCCUGAUAUGUGCAAAAGGAAGUCUGGCUCAAGCACAGACGAGGAGGAAGUACUUAUGUUGCCAGUUAAAGGCCGUGAGCGCUAUAACAUGUUAAAGAAGAUAAAUGAUGCAUUAGAACUGGCUGAAAAAGAGGCUAAAAACAAAACCAGGGCUUCUAAGGAACUGCUGCCGUCCAGUGGAAAGCGCGUCUUGCAAAAAGCAGAACGAAGCGACAGCGACUAGUUGCAAUCUGCCUUCUUUUAACCGCCAUGUACGAGUUAUGUUCAGUGUUGCUUCCUGGCCAACAUCCCUCAGCAGGAGGCUGCACGAUCAUCGAGUUCAGAUGAACUGCGCGACCCCAGCCCCCUGUACCUCCCCGUCCCUCGUCCUGCCGGGGUCCGGCGCGACCCCAGCCCCCUGUACCUCCCCGUCCCGCAUCCUCCCGGGGUCAGGCGCUACCCCAGCCCCCUGUACCUCCACCCGUGCCACAGGCCCACUGAUGAUGAACAUGAUGAUGAUGACGAACAUGAUGAUGAUGAUGAUGAUGAUGAUGAUGCAAGCAGACAGCUGCGUGCAAGGGCUGACCAUUUUAAACGAAAAAUAAAACAGACCAAACAGGCAAAAACAUUUGAUUAAAUGCCAAAAGUUUAUUUAAUAAUAUAAAACAGUUAUGAAAUAAAGGAGUACAAGGCGCA